AGUUUAAUAUAUUUAAUUUAUAAAUAUUUAGUAUUUAUUUUUUAUAAUUAUAGUAUAUUUGAUUGGGGUGAUUAAAAAAUUUAAUAAACUUUUUUUAUAAAUUUAUAUUGAUUAAUAAAUUAAUGAUCCAAAAAUUUUGAUUAUAANAUAAAUUACCUUAGGGAUAACAGCGUAAUUUUAUUAAAGAGUUCUAAUCGAAAAUAAAGUUUGCGACCUCGAUGUUGGAUUAAAAUUUAUAUUUGGUGUAGAAGCUAAAUAAUUUAAGUCUGUUCGACUUUUAAAAUUUUAC
rnacentral:rRNA from 1 species